CUACGGGGUGCAGCAGUGGGGAAUCUUAGACAAUGGGGGAAACCCUGAUCUAGCCAUGCCGCGUGAGCGACGACGGCCCUAGGGUUGUAAAGCUCUUUCAGCAGGGAAGAUAAUGACGGUACCUGCAGAAGAAGUCCCGGCUAACUCCGUGCCAGCAGCCGCGGUAAUACGGAGGGGACUAGCGUUGUUCGGAAUUACUGGGCGUAAAGGCGCGUAGGCGGAUUGUUAAGUCGGGGGUGAAAUCCCGGGGCUCAACCCCGGAACUGCCCUCGAUACUGGCAGUCUUGAGUUCGAGAGAGGUGAGUGGAAUUCCGAGUGUAGAGGUGACAUUCGUAGAUAUUCGGAGGAACACCAGUGGCGAAGGCGGCUCACUGGCUCGAUACUGACGCUGAGGUGCGAAAGCGUGGGGAGCAAACAGGAUUAGAUACCCUCGUAGUC
rnacentral:rRNA from 1 species